AGGACGAACGCUGGCGGCGUGCUUAACACAUGCAAGUCGAACGGUGAUCUUCGGGGCUUGCCCUGGGGUGAUCAGUGGCGAACGGGUGAGUAACACGUGAGUAACCUGCCCCUGACUCUGGGAUAAACUUCGGGAAACCGUAGCUAAUACCGGAUAUGACACGGAGAUGCAUGUCUACCGUGUGGAAAGUUUUUCGGCUGGGAUGGACUCGCGGCCUAUCAGCUUGUUGGUGAGGUAAUGGCUCACCAAGGCGACGACGGGUA
rnacentral:rRNA from 1 species